ACCCCAGUUCCACGUGUGCAUUUGAAAAAGUCAAAUAAAAGUAUUUUAUGAAAAUAAACUAUAUAGGCAUGAUUCCAGUCACACAAUGAGCUAAAUAUAACUGAAUUCUGAAUGCUUUAAAGGCUGUUUUAUUGCUUCGAAUAGAUUACCAGUUUUGUUGCUAAUUGCAGUUAUCAGCUUGACAGAAAGGCUGCGUUUCAAAUGAACUUUCUAUGAUAACCUACUAUUUAUUUAACCAACUAAAUGUUUAAGGGGGACUUCUAAGGAUUUCAGUAAAGGCAAAUAAGGUUUAAUAAAAAAUAAAUGAACCAUUUGAAUAUCUUUGUUGUAUUUGUCCUUUUAUAUACUGUAUAUCUUUGAGACUUUGCAUCAUGGCUGUCGUAUAUGUCUAAAUACAUCCUAAAAUGUGUCAAAUGAAAUGUUCCCAUGGUUUGAUUUAUUUUGUCUUCCUUAAUAUCCAUAUUGACUGACAGGGAGCUAAAUGCACGUGAGGCUCUGUGUGAGCGUGUCUGGGUGCAAGGGUCUGUGUUUUCUCUGUUUGAGUUCAUGUACCCAGUUCUUUGCUCUGCUGCUGAGCUUUGAUCUUUUCAGACUCUAUGGCAACCUAGUUACCUAAUAGGGACCGUAGCCAUAGCAACACAAGUAUGUGAUCUGCUUUCAAGGGCAGCCCAUUUCUCCCAUAACUCCCUGCUGCCUGGUUACAUUUGUAUGUGCUAUUUGGGUCUGCGAUUCAUCAGACACGUUCACACAUCAGAACACAAAGUUCUUCACAUAAUUAUCACUGAUGCUAUUCUAUGUCAGCAACGGUAUAAUUACAGUCUGUUGCAUCUGCCUACAUAGAUCUAAUGCUGUUCACGAGGAACAUAAACAAAACUAGUCCCUGUGGGUAAUUGGGGUAUUUAUAUCGAUAAUUACCUCGCCAGUAAUUACAUACCUGUGUUUAUGUGUGUGUAUGAAAUCUCAACCUGGGUUAUUCACCUUCUCCAGUUGUGGUUAUCAUAAAUUACCAUCUACACACCCUGACACACAAGCGACUGAACACCUGUAAAAUUCUGGAGGAUGGCCUGAGUUGAGGUAAGGAGACAAAUAGUAACACUUCUGACUGCAGAGCACUGCACCAAUGGGGUUUAACCUGCAGGAACAGCAAAGCCUCUAUGGCAGCACUGACAGUGCCCAACCAAGCUUGGGAGUCAUUAUGAAGAGUUAAUAAAAUGUAAAAAAAAAAAAAAAUGACUGCUUUUAUUGCCACUUAAUGGAGUAGCAUUUUAGAGUUCAAGUAAUAAAUAUAAAUCUAUUUCCAAACUGUGUGUGUGUACCUGGUACCAAACAAUUAUAGUAAUACCAGUAAUUUAGUCAUUUUUAACCUUGUGGGACAAUUUUUUUUUUGGUCCCCAUGAGAAAAACCACUUAUUCACAACAACUUUUUUUGGAGGGGGGUCUAAAAAUGCUUUCUGUGAGGGGUAUGGUUAGGGUUAGAGAACAGAAUAUGCAGUUUGUACAGAAUAAAAUAUAUAAUAUUUUCACAUCUCAUAAAAUGUGAGCAUGAAACCAGUGUGGGUGUGUGUGUGCACACAUAUGGAGGUUUUCAUAUGAAAGAAAAUUUAUACUUUUAUUCAUCAUGGUUGAAAUUCAUUGGUUUAAAACUGACAGUAAAGACUUCUAUCACAACAAAAA